rnacentral:rRNA from 1 species
AUUGAACGCUGGCGGCAGGCCUAACACAUGCAAGUCGAGCGGAUGAAGGGAGCUUGCUCCUGGAUUCAGCGGCGGACGGGUGAGUAAUGCCUAGGAAUCUGCCUGGUAGUGGGGGAUAACGUCCGGAAACGGGCGCUAAUACCGCAUACGUCCUGAGGGAGAAAGGGGGGGAUCUUCGGACCUCACGCUAUCAGAUGAGCCUAGGUCGGAUUAGCUAGUUGGUGGGGUAAAGGCCUACCAAGGCGACGAUCCGUAACUGGUCUGAGAGGAUGAUCAGUCACACUGGAACUGAGACACGGUCCAGACUCCUACGGGAGGCAGCAGUGGGGAAUAUUGGACAAUGGGCGAAAGCCUGAUCCAGCCAUGCCGCGUGUGUGAAGAAGGUCUUCGGAUUGUAAAGCACUUUAAGUUGGGAGGAAGGGCAGUAAGUUAAUACCUUGCUGUUUUGACGUUACCAAAAGAAUAAGCACCGGCUAACUUCGUG